rnacentral:rRNA from 1 species
UACGAAGGGGGCGAGCGUUGUUCGGAAUUACUGGGCGUAAAGGGCGCGCAGGCGGCUCUGAAAGUCAGAUGUGAAAGCCCCGGGCUUAACCUGGGAAUUGCAUUUGAUACUCUGGAGCUUGAGUUCGGGAGAGGUGAGUGGAACUGCGAGUGUAGAGGUGAAAUUCGAUAGAUAUUCGCAAGAACACCAGUGGCGAAGGCGGCUCACUGGCCCGAUACUGACGCUGAGGCACGAAAGCGUGGGAGCAAACAGG